CUGGCUUAACUUGCUAUUCAAUACUCUGAUCCUCACUCGAGUGCGAUAAGAAAGCAGCUCCCGUUGAAUAAGCACAAUGCAAUCAAUAUUCCACUUCGUAAUGCUUUCAUUAGCAAUGAUUGCUUUGUUGAGUGGCUUUGCGAUAGCCCAAGGAGGAGGCAAUCCAGGUGCUCCCGGCGCUCCACCUGGUGGACCAGGCGCACCAGGCAAUCCCGGAGGUUAAUAAUUUGAAGUAUAAUGAAUUUAUAUUUCUUUAUUUUAAAUUAAAAUAUAAUACAUGCAUACAUACAAUACAUAAAAA